CAGACCCGGGACGCGAGCCCGAGUCCUCCUGCGUGGCACGCCGACAGCGUUAUCACUCGGCUAUUCGGCCGUCAAGAGAAUGCUUUAUCACAUGAAUAUGUCAGCUAUAUUAUUUCUUCUAAGUUUUACGUCGUGUGAUAAAGCUGCUUUUUGUUACUUUGGAGGAUCUAGGUUGGAUUCUAAUCCCAUAUCUCCAGGUUUUAGGAAUGAUCCGGAUCCAUUGAACCCCCAUUUUUCAACCUUCCAAUUCAGCUGUAUAGCCUCAGUGGAAGCAUAUUGUGCUUCUGCCCUCGAGAUCAGGUUCAAUUUCCGGUUCUCAUACAUCUUUUUUUUUCUUUUAUAUGGUAAGCUUGGUGGCUAAAUUUUGAUUGC
rnacentral:lncRNA from 1 species